rnacentral:lncRNA from 1 species
UUUUCAAUGUGAAUGAAAAAUGUGAAUGCAAAUUUGAACAUGAAAAAUGUAAGAAAUAAUAAAAUAAAUAAAAAAUAAAAAAUAAAAAUAGAUAUGAAAUAGUAAAUAUGAUCAUGAAUGAAGGAUAUGAAGGUGAGUGAAGAAAGAAUGCAAACGAGUGAUUGAUGGGAAGAAAAUUUCAGGGCCAAAAUCGGGGUAUG